rnacentral:rRNA from 1 species
CGUAGGGCGGAGCGUUGUCCGGAAUCAUUGGGCGUAAAGAGCGUGUAGGCGGCCCGGUAAGUCCGCUGUGAAACCCGGGACGUCAACCCCGGGCGUGCAGUGGAAACUGCCGGGCUAGAGGGCGGCAGAGGCGAGUGGAAUUCCCGGUGUAGCGGUGAAAUGCGCAGAUAUCGGGAGGAACACCGGUAGCGAAGGCGGCUCGCUGGGCCGUUCCUGACGCUGAGACGCGAAAGCUAGGGGAGCGAACAGGAUU